UACGUAGGGGCCGAGCGUUGUCCGGAUUCAUUGGGCGUAAAGGGCGCGUAGGCGGCCUUCUAAGUCGGACGUGAAAUCCCUCGGCUUAACCGAGGAACUGCGUCCGAUACUGAAAGGCUUGAAUCCGGGAGAGGGAUGUGGAAUUCCAGGUGUAGCGGUGAAAUGCGUAGAUAUCUGGAGGAACACCGGUGGCGAAGGCGGCAUCCUGGACCGGUAUUGACGCUGAGGCGCGAAAGCUAGGGGAGCAAACGGG
rnacentral:rRNA from 1 species